rnacentral:lncRNA from 1 species
GGGCAUCUCCAAAGACCAAAGUUUAGGAUAAGGUACAUAACUUUGGAAGAUCUUCGAGUACUUAAAGUUGGAUUCUUCAAAGGUACUAACCUUUCCUACGCUGCUUGCAUGGCCAGAGAUGCUCGGCUUGCCUAAAUAGCCAAUCAAAACUUCUGUUUGACAUCGUACACACGGACGUUGUUUUAAUUCCAAGAAACAAGACGAGGUUAAGACAAUUUCCCUCAUUUCAAGCAAGGUCGGGAAAUUCUUAAUGGUGAAUACUACAGCAUGUUGAUGUUGGGGGUAACAAAC